rnacentral:misc_RNA from 1 species
GAUGAAGAACGUAGUGAAAUGCGAUAAGUAGUGUGAAUUGCAGAAUUCAGUGAAUCAUCGAAUCUUUGAACGCACAUUGCGCCCGCUAGUAUUCUGGCGGGCAUGCCUGUUCGAGCGUCAUUUCAACCAUCAAGCCCUGUUUAGGCUUGUGUUGGGGCCCUGCGGCUGCCGCAGCCCCCUAAAUGCAGUGGCGGGCUCGUUGUCACUCCGAGCGCAGUAGCGUAUCUCGCUCUGGGCGUGGCGGCGGGUGCUAGCCGUGAAACACCCACUAAGGUUGACCUCGGAUCAGGUAGGAAUACCCGCUGAACUUAAGCAUAUCAAUAAGCGGAGGA